GUGGUGGCUCAGGGGCAGAGCGCUCGCCUAGCAUGUGUGAAGCACUGGGUUCGAUCCCCAGCACCACG
rnacentral:tRNA from 1 species